rnacentral:rRNA from 1 species
GAUGAACGCUCGCGGCAUGCUUAACACAUGCAAGUCGAGCGGCAGCAUAAUGGAUUUCAAUAUCUAUGGUGGCGCGCAGCGCACGGUUGCGUAACGCGAAUGCAACCUACCUUUAACAGUAGGAUAACACUGAUAAAUUGAUACUAAUACCCCAUAAUAUCAUACAAGGCAUCUUUUAUGGUGGAACAUUCCUUUGGUUAGAGAUGGGCAUGCGUUGUAUUAGCUAGUUGGUGGGGUACCGGCUCACCAAGGCGACGAUACCUAGGGGGAGUGAGAGGUUAAGCCCAGAGACUGGGACUGAGAAACGGAGCAGAGUCAUACGGGAGGCAGCAGUGAGGAAGAUUGGUGAAUGGACGAAAGUAUGAAGCAGCGAUGCCGCGUGCAGGAUGACCGCUCUAUGAGUUGUAAACUGCUUUUGUAAGAGGGUAAACGCAGAUACGUGUAUCUGUGUGAAAGUAUUGUACGAAUAAGGACCGGCUAACUACGUG